GUUAGUAUAGCUCAGCAUGGUAAAGCGUUAGUUUAACACACUAAAUGUCAUGAGUUCAAAUCUCAUUACUAACA
rnacentral:tRNA from 1 species